CUUAGACAAGGUCAGCCUGAGCCUGCUUUGGGCAUACCCUGGGGAAGAUAUGGAUUCCUGCAAUGUUUUGGACUGUGAGUACAUCAGGAUGAAGAGUCUGUGUUGGUGUUUGUGGUGUACAGGCUUCUGAUUCAGGCUCCCCUUGAAUACAUUAAGGCCACUAUAAAGUUUCCUAGAGCUUUCUCCAAGAUGAAUCACACCAACCCUCCCAGCUUCUUUUCAUUAAAGAAGAGGUGCUCCAGCCUUCUGAUCACCCUCCUGGCCCUCCUCUGGACUCACUCUAACAGCUACUGACCAGUUCAUGUUCAGAGCAGCUUUCAAAGGUACAGAAAUCCUGUUUGUGUCAAUUUAUGAAUGAAAAAUCAACUUUCGGUUUGCAAUUUUCUUCCAAAGGUCCCAUCAGCUUGUAUUUGUGAAUUAGCAACUACAUAGUGAGAUGUACUAAUGGAAGAUGGGUUAAGAGUGUGGUGUCCCUCCUUGUAUCAGAUGUCAUGGAAGCAGCUGGUGUGUAUGCAGGAAGAUGAACCAGUCAUAAAAGACUUCUUAUAAUUUAUUUUCCCAGACAACCAGAGAAUCAGAGUUUUCAAAUAAAAAU
rnacentral:lncRNA from 1 species